CGUGAUUUCUGGAGCUCCAACAAGAUGCUAGAAGGUAAGUAACUAUGUUUGUUUUGCAUUGCAUGUUUUCAUAUGUUUCAGACUUUCAAGCAGAGAUGUCAUGAUGACUGGAGUUGAGCACAGGGCAGUGACAAAGUGAAAGGUAAGUACUUUUACUGAAUGUUUGUUCUAUGCAUGUUUUGUUUUAAUACAUUUCAGGAGUGCUUAUCCAGUGAUGAUAUGACAGUUGGAGUGAACAGUGGAGUCAAGCAGUCUUGAUUUUGGAGCUACUUAACAAGCCUUGAAGGUAAGUUUAGAAUUUCUCAAUGUUAGUGAAUUGAAGUACUGUCACUUGCUUUUGGACAGUCGAACAGAACAGACGUGGUUGCGAGAGCUUUCAUAUCUGUUGUGUUAAACUGUUUUUAUGAUAUGUUAUGUUUGUUUGUUUGUUUGUGAUGUACUAUUUUUCAGAUGCUGAUGGCAGUGAUGGGUUUUCAAGCUGACCUGAACAGAAAAGCACUCAUAUGGUAAGUACAAAAUAGUUGUUAUAUGGGAUGUUUUGUGCAUGCUUUUAUGUUUCAGGUGUACUUGCUGACAGCGACGAAGACGAAUCAAGAAGAGGAACAUUGUUGAGAAAGUGAUUGGGACUUGAAAACAGGGUAAGUGUAACACUUGUGUUUGUUUAAUUUGUAACAUGCGUGCUUUGCUCUGUUUCAGAUUUCACAUGCAGAAAUUAAACAGGAUUUCAACUGCUGAGACACAAAUCAUCAAAAGUAAGGUAAGUUUUAAUCCAUUGAUUUGAGUUGUACAAUGUGUUCUUUACUUUAUUUCAGAUUCGAGUCACUGGUUUACACAUGGAAGAAGAUUUCCACGUCUGUUACUCAACUCUACAGAAGCAAGUGGAUGUCCAGAUGGCAAGCAGUACAGACGUGUUUCUUGGAGCUGCCAAACAGGAGCUGUGGUAAGUAUUGUAGUAUUAAUUUGUCUCAAUAAACGAUGAUGAAUGAAAACUGAUGUCGAUUCUUUUUGUACAGUUUUAGGUAUUAGCACUCUAUACAAAACUCUGUCGGUCGGUGUUUGUGAAUGUGAGCUUAAUGUUUGAGUAGAACAAAAAUGUCUUUACUUUUGUGAUCGCCAGUUGUCUGUGAUGUAAAGUGGAAAAAACACAGCUAUGAAGCAUACAAUUGUUUCAAUAUUUUAUCAAUGAUUGUAUACUAUGCAUGUUUUGAUUUAGUUCAUUUCAGAUAUGAGAUGACAUGAAGAGUUGACAGUCGAACAGAGCUGAGCAACGCAGAAAGGUAAGUGUGUUUCAUUUUAGUAUGAACACUUGUAUUUUGUUUUUAUAUGGUAUGUUUUGUGCAUGCUAUGUUUCAGGUGUACUUGUAGUCAGCGACGAAGACGAUUCAAGAAGAGGAACAUUGCUGAGAAAGUGAAUGGGACUUGCAAACAGGGUAAGUGUUACAAUUGUUUGUUUGAUUUUUACCAUGCAUACUUUGCUUUGCUCUGUUUCAGAUUUCACAUGCAGAAAUGGUCUCAUAGCAGUGCCAACAGUGAAUAAGGAUUUCAGCUGCUGUGAAACAACUCAACAGAAAGUAGGUAAGCAUUGAAUGAAUGCACUUGAGUUGUACAAUUUGAUGUGAUGCUUUUCUCUGUUUCAGAUUCAAGUUUCUGGUUUAGACAGAAAAAUGUGUUUGAAGAAGGAAUUUUACUACUGUGAUUCAACUCUACAGAAGCAAGGUAAGUAGAAACACAAUUUUGGUUUAAUUUAACUCAUGUGUUUUGCACUGCAUGCUAUUUUUCAGGUCUCUCAUGCAGUGAUGCAAAAGAAGAAGAUUUCAAGAAAGAAUCACUGCUGCAACUCAGGCCUAUAACAAGGUAAGUGUUUACUAUAUUGUAUACAAAAUGUUUCUCUGUUUUACUCUGUUUGAAGGUUUCAAUUGCAGAGAUGUUGCAGAGAUGUUUUGACAGCUUGUGACAGAAAAGAAAUUCAGCAGCUGUGUAUCGACUGUAGCCACGAGGUAAGUCGAAACAAAUAUACUGGUUUGUAUGUUAUGUUGUUAUGCCCUUCUAUGUUUCAGACUUACAUUGCUGUGACUGUUCCACAGUGGGUCAAAAAAGAGACGAAUACAGGUUUCAAGAAGAAAAUUGGCUGUUGAAAACCUGCACAAAAUAUGAGGUAAGUAAACUAUUCUUUUGGUUUGUUUUGUGCUUUGUUAUGCUUAACUAUUUUUCAGAUUGGAGUGGUGGGUCGUUACAGAGCAGACUUUUGGACAACUGAGAAGUUAAACAACAGAAAAUGAUUCAAGAUCAGCUAGGUAAGUCUGGAUUAUUAUGCAUUGCUAAAUGUUUUUUUUAUUCCAGUAUGGCUGUGGUAAGUACACUAACUUUCUAUAAUUUCAUAUUGAACUGUUUUGAUGACUUGUAUUCUGCAUUGUAAAAUGUCUGUUUUUCAUUUCAGUAUCCUGUGGUAAGUACACUAACUUUCU